CUGACAUUCUCACAGGAGGGAGCAGAAAGAACCCAGCUGCUCAGGGUGACUCUUCUCUCUCCUCUGCUAUGUGCCUCCCUCCUUCCCCCAAGCAACAACCAGCCUGGAAAAGGGGAGAGGGGACCCCACUGCAGUCCCACCCCAGCCUGGGAAAGAGGGAUGAAGAACUUCAGAAGCUGAUGGAGGAGCAGAGCAAAGAGGCUGAAAGGGGCAAUCAGAAAUGGGGCAAGAGAGAAAGGACAUUAAAGAACAUAAGGGAACACCGUGGGGAUUAUGCUGAAAUUCAGGAGGAGAACAGAGUGGAGAAGAAUGUGUGACAGAGCAGGCCAGUGGAGUAAGAAAAAAACAGAGAGAAAUGCAAAGAAACGGAAGAAAAAAAAUAGCAAGAUAUUUCCAGAGCUACAAAUCAUGAACUGAAGAAGAGGUCUGUGCAGCUCAAAGGCUUGUGCCUUCUACCAACAAAAGUUGGUCCAAUAAAAGAUAUUACCACCCCUAUCCUGUCUCUCUCAUGUCUAGGUAGUCACACCUAUGACCAUGUGACCAGUCUGACUGUGAGUUUGCUUCUCCAAAUCUAAUUUUUAUACAUGAAACUCAGUACAUUAGUCUGAGCAUCUGCCUAUUUGCUGACUCUCUGGGGAGACCUGUGUGAAGGAGGACCUCAAUGCAGCGAUGGAAAGAGCCAUUGCUUGUACACAGGUCUGGAAAAAACAUCUAGUUUGUGACAAGGACAAGGAGGAGAAGUCAUCUGAGGUUUCCAGCAACACAAUGAUAGGUGACUAAAUGAACAGCAGACUCCAACACCUCAAGGCAUCCAUGAAUAUGAAGAUUACAGUACAAGAAGAAGAAUGGAUCAACAUUACGCUAGGUUUUGGGACUACACUGGGAGAUGCUGAUUGGUUUCUGCCAACUCAUUGUGGCAAGCGUGGCUCGUCAACCUGCGUGGAUAUUAGUAAGGCUUGUUUGGCAGGUAAAUUCUCUCUCUGUACUGAGCAUGCUCCAGCUCCUGGCUGAAUGGGACUUUUUCUGAAAUUGCUCCUCCCACCACCAGGCACAGGAACUGAGAACAAGGAGACUGUCUCUCCUGUGCUGUCAAUGCUUACCGCUAGGAGCCAGAAGAUGGAGGAAGCUUUUUGACUGGUAUAUAGAAAGAAGUACCUAGAAGCCCUAGCCAGAGAUCAGGGCCUAUUGUACUAGGUACUGUAUACACAUAAUAAAGAUACUCUAUGCACCAAAUAAUUUACGCUCUAGAAAUAAGACAAGAACAAGAGGUGGAAGAGCUGAGAGACGGAGUGGGGGGAAAAGACAAAAUGACAGUGAAGUGACUAUGCUUAGAUGACUACUAUUUUCAAUUGCUGAAGGGAUCUGUAUGACAGUGGCAGAUGAACCUCCUGAGUUGUGUGUCCAGUUCAGUUCUGCCCCAGACAGAUUGGCAUCAGCGUGAGCCUGUUCAAUGGCCCAGGUGGUCAUCAUCUGUACAAUGGACCCACUGAAAUGAGACCAGUGCUACACUGUAUGAAUCAGCAGGACUUGUAGGGACAUGGUUAUGGACAGGGGACUCCAAGUUUUUCCAUGUCGUGUGCUGUGAAGCUUGUGUUUGGGAAACAGGAAGUACAAGCCACAUGGCAAAAGGAAUAUAAAGGGUAGCUGCAUCAUCUCCAUUUGGUCUUCAUUCCUGCUGCCUACCUCUGGAAUAACUUCUACAAAUGAAGCUCUGAACAAAGGACUGAAUGACCCAUCCAAGCUGUGGAUGUGCUCCAGAGGGACUUUCAAGCCAGCAAACUCACCAAUACUGCUAAGACCCUGCUAUGUGGACUUUGAAGUCCCUGUAUGUAUCUAUCUGAUUGCUUUUACCAUUUAACAAUUCUCUUCUUGUUCUUUCCUUUUUCUUUGUAAUAAACAUUUAGUUUUAGACACUAAAGAAUUGGC